rnacentral:rRNA from 1 species
AGAGUUUGAUCAUGGCUCAGAUUGAACGCUGGCGGCAGGCCUAACACAUGCAAGUCGAACGGUAACAGGAAGCAGCUUGCUGCUUUGCUGACGAGUGGCGGACGGGUGAGUAAUGUCUGGGAAACUGCCCGAUGGAGGGGGAUAACUACUGGAAACGGUAGCUAAUACCGCAUAACGUCGCAAGACCAAAGAGGGGGACCUUAGGGCCUCUUGCCAUCGGAUGUGCCCAGAUGGGAUUAGCUAGUAGGUGGGGUAACGGCUCACCUAGGCGACGAUCCCUAGCUGGUCUGAGAGGAUGACCAGCCACACUGGAACUGAGACACGGUCCAGACUCCUACGGGAGGCAGCAGUGGGGAAUAUUGCACAAUGGGCGCAAGCCUGAUGCAGCCAUGCCGCGUGUAUGAAGAAGGCCUUCGGGUUGUAAAGUACUUUCAGCGGGAGGAAGGGAGUAAAGUUAAUACCUUUGCUCAUUGACGUUACCCGCAGAAGAAGCACCGGCUAACUCCGUGCCAGCAGCCGCGGUAAUACGGAGGGUGCAAGCGUUAAUCGGAAUUACUGGGCGUAAAGCGCACGCAGGCGGUUUGUUAAGUCAGAUGUGAAAUCCCCGGGCUCAACCUGGGAACUGCAUCUGAUACUGGCAAGCUUGAGUCUCGUAGAGGGGGGUAGAAUUCCAGGUGUAGCGGUGAAAUGCGUAGAGAUCUGGAGGAAUACCGGUGGCGAAGGCGGCCCCCUGGACGAAGACUGACGCUCAGGUGCGAAAGCGUGGGGAGCAAACAGGAUUAGAUACCCUGGUAGUCCACGCCGUAAACGAUGUCGACUUGGAGGUUGUGCCCUUGAGGCGUGGCUUCCGGAGCUAACGCGUUAAGUCGACCGCCUGGGGAGUACGGCCGCAAGGUUAAAACUCAAAUGAAUUGACGGGGGCCCGCACAAGCGGUGGAGCAUGUGGUUUAAUUCGAUGCAACGCGAAGAACCUUACCUGGUCUUGACAUCCACGGAAGUUUUCAGAGAUGAGAAUGUGCCUUCGGGAACCGUGAGACAGGUGCUGCAUGGCUGUCGUCAGCUCGUGUUGUGAAAUGUUGGGUUAAGUCCCGCAACGAGCGCAACCCUUAUCCUUUGUUGCCAGCGGUCCGGCCGGGAACUCAAAGGAGACUGCCAGUGAUAAACUGGAGGAAGGUGGGGAUGACGUCAAGUCAUCAUGGCCCUUACGACCAGGGCUACACACGUGCUACAAUGGCGCAUACAAAGAGAAGCGACCUCGCGAGAGCAAGCGGACCUCAUAAAGUGCGUCGUAGUCCGGAUUGGAGUCUGCAACUCGACUCCAUGAAGUCGGAAUCGCUAGUAAUCGUGGAUCAGAAUGCCACGGUGAAUACGUUCCCGGGCCUUGUACACACCGCCCGUCACACCAUGGGAGUGGGUUGCAAAAGAAGUAGGUAGCUUAACCUUCGGGAGGGCGCUUACCACUUUGUGAUUCAUGACUGGGGUGAAGUCGUAACAAGGUAACCGUAGGGGAACCUGCGGUUGGAUCACCU